GAUGAACGCUGGCGGCGUGCCUAAUACAUGCAAGUCGAACGAACAGAUCAGGAGCUUGCGCCUCUGACGUUAGCGGCGGACGGGAGAUUCACACGUGGAUAACCUACCUAUCAGACUGGGAUAACUUCGGGACACCGGAUCUAAUACCGGAUAAUAUAUUGCACCGCAUUGUUCAAUAGUGAAAUUCGGUUUUUCUGUCAGUUAUAGCUGGAUACGAGCCGGAUGAGCUAGUUGUUAAGGUAAAGGCUUACCAAGGCAAGGAUGCGUAGACGACCUGAGGGGGGGAUCGCCCACCUGGGAAGUGAGACACGGUCCAGACUCCUACGGGAGGCCGCAGUAUGGAAUCUUACGCAAGGGGGGAGAGUCUGACAGAGGAACGCGGCGGGAGUGAUGAAGGCGUUCGGAUCGGAAAGCUCUGUUACUAGUGGAGAACCAAUGUGUCCGUAACCGUGCAGGUAUUGACGGUACCGAGUCAGAAAGCCCCGGCUAACUACGUG
rnacentral:rRNA from 1 species